AGCAGUCGCCACGGUAAUACGUAGGUGGCAAGCGUUGUCCGGAAUUAUUGGGCGUAAAGGGCUCGCAGGCGGUUUCUUAAGUCUGAUGUGAAAGCCCCCGGCUCAACCGGGGAGGGUCAUUGGAAACUGGGAAACUUGAGUGCAGAAGAGGAGAGUGGAAUUCCACGUGUAGCGGUGAAAUGCGUAGAGAUGUGGAGGAACACCAGUGGCGAAGGCGACUCUCUGGUCUGUAACUGACGCUGAGGAGCGAAAGCGUGGGGAGCGAACAGGAUUAGAACCCCAGUAGUCCCUGUCUCUUAUACA
rnacentral:rRNA from 1 species